rnacentral:lncRNA from 1 species
AACCAAAACCCCAUGUUCAUCGUCUCUCUCAGAUACCAUCCCCUCCACUAAAGACCCUAGCCGAUACCCUACUCCUCUAUCUGAAACCCGGCGGCAACAACACCGCCGGUCACCAAACCAACACCCUAAGACCACCUGACCACCCUGGUUCCAAAUCCACCAACCGUUUGGCUCGAAGCAUCCUCAGACUUCUCGAAUCUUCAUUUGAAUAUUCGAGCCAAACUGAAACCUACCACAAUCCAUCCCAAAAUCACACCCUGGCACCCCGACCUCCCUCAUACCCUAAAUGCCUGUGGUCCCGUUCGAAUCUGCCUAGAAAUAUUCGAACCCUAAAUCAGACCAUAAGAACCCUAGAAAACCUAAACCAUGGAAUCUGUCAAAAUUAAAGGGUAUUUGGGGUUGAAUCGGCCUUAGUCGAAGUGUUCUCAGUCGAGAACACUUCCACUAAGGGUCGUUUGACCUCAAAAAUUCGAGUCCGAGAUUGGUCAAGUCCGUUUGAUUUCUGAUCUUUUCUGAGGUAUUUUUUCCAUGCUUUUUUGUUUUUGUUUUUUGUUGUAGUUAUUUGUUUAAGUUUAGUGAUAAUUAAAUUUCCGUUCUUCACUGUUCUUCUACUCCAGUAGACCUUUUUAUUUGGUUGCAUUAUUUUUGUUUGAGUUUAGUAUAUAAUAGGCUGUGUAAUCGAAUCGAAUAGUUUCAUCGAAUAAUUAAGUUUUAUUAUAACUCUUUGUUUCUGUCAAAUGCCACUCAAAUUACUUGUCUGCCUAUUUCUGAUUGUUUGUUGUUUAGUUGUAUAUGUUAUGAACUAUGCAAUUGACCAAUUAGUUAUCGUCGAUUAAUUCGGUCGUGUUUGUAGUUCAGUAAUUCAUGUCCAAAUGUUUGGUGUCAAAUGUGUUAUGAACUGAUCCUGAAUCUUUGCAUAGGUUUGUUUUAAGGUUGAUUCCCUGCUUAUUUUUGUUUGUGGUAUAGCUAAUUAGGACUAAUUCCCCCAUUAAGUCCCAUGUACCUGUAUAAUCAAUCCGACCCUUAGUAGUAUAAAGUAUGUGCUUUGAAUAAUUGUUUCUUAUUUUGAUAAUGUUUUGUCCAAUCUAAAUGCCAUGCUGAAAUUGGUACUCAAUAUAGUUUUAGUAUCUUAAAUGAUUUCAGUUCAUUUUGAUUUUCGUAGUUAGUUGUUUCUAUUGUUUUAAUCUGAUUGUAAUAGUUUUAGUUCUGUGAUUGAUAUUAAGGAUUGGUUACAUCUGUUAAUCAUUAAUUAAUUUUUGUUAAUUAGGUUUGAACAAAUUUUGAAUUAGGGCAGUAAUUUUCAAGGGUUUAAGGGGGUAAGUUAGGGAUUUAACAGGGCUGUAAUUGAGACUAAUUUAAGGGUCGUGAUUAUUAAAUAAAUUAGUUUGAUAUUAGUUGGGGACAAGACAUUCUAAGUGGGAUUGAAAAGUUAAAAGAUAACUUAUAGUGGAAGACUACUUUCUACUUUGGGUAGACCAAUUUGAGAAUAAUUAACUACCCACUAAGGCCAAAAAUUUGGAAAAAAGGUGAUUGAAAAUUAGAGAAUGCAAUAAAAGGGAGAAAAUUUUCUUCAAGUGGGGGGAAGUUUUUGAGAUCAAAAUUUUAGAACUUAAGAGUGAGAUAUAAACUGACUUUUGAAUACUAAGAAGAUUUCAGAGUUUAAAAGCAAAUAUAGGCUGAUUUUUUUACAAUAAAGGUUCAGUUAAUUUGAGAGUUACAAAAAUGAAAGUGAGGUCUCUUUGCUAUUGAAAAUCAGUAUUGCUGGCUAUUGUUCCAUUGAAGUUCUAUGUCUCUUUCUGUUUUUGCCCGUGAUACUGCUUGGGGUUUCUGGUAUUGGUGUUACUGUUGGAUUGUUUUUGAAACUAUUAUUGGUUGUGGGAUUAUCUCUGUUGGUUUUAAAAACUGUCCCUGGGUGUUCUAUUUGCCACUGCGAUUGCUGAUUGUUGUUGCUGCUUUGCUGCUGCUGAUCAUCAUCUUCUUCCUAUCCUAUUCUCCAAUCCGGGCACCAUUUUGAAUUCGUUGCAAUGUAAUUGUGAGCUGGAAGGCGAAAUAAAGAAGUUUCAUCGAUUUUAUAUGUUAAUGAGUGCCUCCUGUUGAUUGCUAGAUUGUAAUUAAGUUCUGUUAUAGUUGUAUUGAUACUGCACAAGGCUAUAUGAAAUUUGUUGUAAUUAUAAGAUUGUAAAACUAGGACAUCGGCAGUUUGCUUGGAAUGGGGUCAAGGUGGAAUCACCAUCUAACUGUUGGGAAUGUGGUAACUUGAACACUGAUUUUUGAAUUAGUUGGUUGUUAGAUUAUGUGGCUUCAAUUGAACUCUUGUAUUAAUAAUAACUAGAUGAAAAAUCAGCCUACUAUGUUAGUAAUUAUUUCCAGUUUGUUAUGCAUUUAAAAGGCAAUCAUUUGAACUAGAUUUGAACAGAGUUUUGUUGUACAUUUUGGACUGCAUUGUGAUUGUAUGAAAAAAUGGACUUUUACAUUGAAUUGGUUGUCUAACUUUGUUUAGAAUUCUGAAAUUAGACAGUAAGCUGCAAUUUGAAAUGGUAAAGUUUUAGUUGAAUUGUUUAGUGAUAAUGGUUCAUGGUUGUUUUAUUAGAAAUUGAAAAGGUUUUAGAAAUUGAAAGUUUUUUUUUAAAUUUGUGAGUUCCAACGAAGCCAGUGUUCUUUUCCGCAUGUGUUCGUCCACUCUGCUUGAUUUUUUUGAGUUCAAAAA